rnacentral:rRNA from 1 species
AGUGAACGCUGGCGGUAGGCCUAACACAUGCAAGUCGAACGGCAGCACAGUAAGAGCUUGCUCUUACGGGUGGCGAGUGGCGGACGGGUGAGGAAUACAUCGGAAUCUACUUUUUCGUGGGGGAUAACGUAGGGAAACUUACGCUAAUACCGCAUACGACCUACGGGUGAAAGCAGGGGAUCUUCGGACCUUGCGCGAUUGAAUGAGCCGAUGUCGGAUUAGCUAGUUGGCGGGGUAAAGGCCCACCAAGGCGACGAUCCGUAGCUGGUCUGAGAGGAUGAUCAGCCACACUGGAACUGAGACACGGUCCAGACUCCUUCGGGAGGCAGCGGUGGGGAAUGUUGGACACUGGGCGCAUGUCUGAUGCAGCCAUACCGCGUGGGUAAAGAAGGCCUUCUGGUUGUAAAGCCCUUUUGUUGGGAAAGAAAAUCAGCAGGUUAAUACCCCGCUGUUCUGACGGUACCCAAAGAAUAAACACCGGCUAACUUCGU